UGGGGAAUUUUGGACAAUGGGCGCAAGCCUGAUCCAGCCAUGCCGCGUGCGGGAAGAAGGCCUUCGGGUUGUAAACCGCUUUUGUCAGGGAAGAAAUCUUCUGAGUUAAUACCUCGGGAGGAUGACGGUACCUGAAGAAUAAGCACCGGCUAACUACGUGCCAGCAGCCGCGGUAAUACGUAGGGUGCAAGCGUUAAUCGGAAUUACUGGGCGUAAAGCGUGCGCAGCGGUUUUGUAAGACAGAGGUGAAAUCCCCGGGCUCAACCUGGGAACUGCCUUUGUGACUGCAAGGCUUGAGUGCGGCAGAGGGGGGAUGGAAUUCCGCGUGUAGCAGUGAAAAUGCGUAGAUAUGCGGAGGAACACCGAAUGGCGAAACGGCAAUCCCCGUCGGGCCUGCACUGACGCUACAUGGCAACGAAAAGCGUGGGGAGC
rnacentral:rRNA from 1 species